GGGGGCGUGGCGGAACUGGCAGACGCAGUGGACUUAAAAUCCACCGGCCUUUGGUCAUCAGGGUUCGAAUCCCUGCGCCCCUACCA
rnacentral:tRNA from 1 species